rnacentral:rRNA from 1 species
GAUGAACGCUGGCGGCGUGCCUAAUACAUGCAAGUCGAGCGAACAGACGAGGAGCUUGCUCCUCUGACGUUAGCGGCGGACGGGUGAGUAACACGUGGAUAACCUACCUAUAAGACUGGGAUAACUUCGGGAAACCGGAGCUAAUACCGGAUAAUAUAUUGAACCGCAUGGUUCAAUAGUGAAAAACGGUUUUGCUGUCACUUAUAGAUGGAUCCGCGCCGCAUUAGCUAGUUGGUAAGGUAACGGCUUACCAAGGCGACGAUGCGUAGCCGACCUGAGAGGGUGAUCGGCCACACUGGAACUGAGACACGGUCCAGACUCCUACGGGAGGCAGCAGUAGGGAAUCUUCCGCAAUGGGCGAAAGCUUGACGGAGCAACGCCGCGUGAGUGAUGAAGGUCUUCGGAUCGUAAAACUCUGUUAUUAGGGAAGAACAAAUGUGUAAGUAACUAUGCACGUCUUGACGGUACCUAAUCAGAAAGCCACGGCUAACUACGUG